GGGGCGUCCGCAACCACAGCGCGCAGGGCAGGCGCGAGCUGGCCUCUGAGCCCCGGCCUCGGACCGCCCACUCCACUCCCGGCACGCCCGGUGCCGCCUUCCGGCUCCAGUCCCCGGGCUCGGCCUCGGCGAGGUGUAAUUCGCAGCGCGGGCCGGCCCCGGAGGCUCUCGGCGAGCGCGGCGCGGUAACAAGUGGGCGAGGAUGCCGUACGAGAUCAAGAAGGUGUUCGCCAGCCUCCCGCAGGUGGAGAGGGGCGUCUCCAAGAUCAUCGGCGGCGACCCUAAGGGCAACAAUUUUCUGUACACCAAUGGAAAGUGCGUCAUCCUAAGGAACAUCGACAUGUGUCUGGGAAGCUGAGGAUCUGGGAUACCACGCAGAAGGAGCACCUGUUGAAGUAUGAGUACCAGCCUUUCGCUGGGAAGAUCAAAGACAUUGCUUGGACUGAAGACAGUAAGAGGAUCGCCGUGGUCGGGGAAGGAAGGGAGAAGUUUGGAGCAGUCUUCCUCUGGGAUAGUGGCUCUUCUGUGGGCGAGAUUACAGGACACAACAAAGUCAUCAACAGCGUGGACAUCAAGCAGAGCCGGCCAUACCGGCUGGCCACGGGAAGCGAUGAUAACUGCGCGGCAUUCUUUGAGGGACCCCCAUUCAAGUUCAAGUUCACAAUUGG
rnacentral:lncRNA from 1 species